rnacentral:tRNA from 1 species
GGGCCGGUAGCUCAGUUGGGAGAGCGCUACAUUCGCAUUGUAGAGGCCGUGGGUUCGACUCCCAUCCGGUCCA